UUUUCCUCCCAACGGACACUU
rnacentral:piRNA from 1 species